rnacentral:rRNA from 1 species
AGGGUUCGAUUCUGGCUCAGGAUGAACGCUGGCGGCGUGCCUAAUACAUGCAAGUCGAACGGGUGUAGCAAUACAUCAGUGGCGAACGGGUGAGUAACACGUUGGUGACCUGCCCCAAAGAUGGGAAUAUCACCUGGAAACGGGUGGCAAAACCGAAUAAGCUUGACUCAGUCAGAGAAGGUCAAGUAAAAGCGAAAGCUACUUUGGGAGGGGCCUGCGGCCCAUCAGUUAGUUGGUGAGGGUAACGGCCCACCAAGACGAAGACGGGUAGGGACCUGAGAGGGUGGUCCCCCACAAUGGAACUGAAACACGGUCCAUACACCUGCGGGUGGCAGCAGUAGGGAAUAUUGCUUAAUGGGACGAAAGCCUGAAGCAGCAACGCCGCGUGGACGAAGGAGGCCUUCGGGUCGUAAAGUUCCUUUUAUGGGGGAAAAGGAAGGAUGGUACCCCAUGAAUAAGUCUCGGCUAACUACGUGCCAGCCGCCGC